rnacentral:rRNA from 1 species
AUCUGGGCGGCGGAAUUCAAGACGGCUGGCGGGUCUCGCGCUCGUUCGGCCGUUUGAUAUUUCCGUCGCCGUGUCAGACGUCGCGACCUGUUUGUCGUCGGUCCUUGCUCGGAGGAAUUGCGAUCGAGUUCGUUGCGGGCGCGUUUCGGCGUGCUUCGCGGCGAAGACGCGACUCUCUGGCCGACGACGGACAGUAAGCAACGGUGUCUGGCGCCGUGUCUCGCACUCGGCGUCGGUGCCGGUCAGCGACGAUUUCUUCGGACCUCUUUCCGACCCGUCUUGAAACACGGACCAAGGAGUCUAACAUGCGCGCGAGUCGCGGGGUUUCGAGCGUACCACGGUGCGCUCGUUACUUCCGAAACCCGUACGUUGAAGGCGUAAUGAAAGUGAAUAGGGAAGAUGGCGUUCCGAGACCACGUACCGUGAUCGAGUAUCGCGGCCGGACGUCCGCACUCCCGGGGCGUCUCAAUGGUUCGCCACGGAUGCGGACGAUCGUCUUUCGGGGCGGUCGUCGGUCUGUGGCGGUCCGA